rnacentral:rRNA from 1 species
UACGAAGGGUGCAAGCGUUACUCGGAAUUACUGGGCGUAAAGCGUGCGUAGGUGGUGAGUUAAGUCUGUCGUGAAAGCCCCCGGGCUCAACCUGGGAAUUGCGAUGGAGACUGCAAGGCUUGAAUCUGGCAGAGGGGGGUAGAAUUCCACGUGUAGCAGUGAAAUGCGUAGAGAUGUGGAGGAACACCGAUGGCGAAGGCAGCCCCCCUGGGUCAAGAUUGACGCUCAUGCACGAAAGCGUGGGGAGCAAACAGG